AAUUAAUGAGCUUGAUAUAAGCUUUUGCUUUGAAAGCAUAAGAUGAUAGUUUAAUCUAUCAUUAAUUU
rnacentral:tRNA from 1 species